rnacentral:rRNA from 1 species
AUUGAACGCUGGCGGCAGGCCUAACACAUGCAAGUCGAGCGGCAGCGGGAAAGUAGCUUGCUACUUUUGCCGGCGAGCGGCGGACGGGUGAGUAAUGCCUGGGGAUCUGCCCAGUCGAGGGGGAUAACUACUGGAAACGGUAGCUAAUACCGCAUACGCCCUACGGGGGAAAGCAGGGGACCUUCGGGCCUUGCGCGAUUGGAUGAACCCAGGUGGGAUUAGCUAGUUGGUGAGGUAAUGGCUCACAAAGGCGACGAUCCCUAGCUGGUCUGAGAGGAUGACCAGCCACACUGGAACUGAGACACGGUCCAGACUCCUACGGGAGGCAGCAGUGGGGAAUAUUGCACAAUGGGGGAAACCCUGAUGCAGCCAUGCCGCGUGUGUGAAGAAGGCCUUCGGGUUGUAAAGCACUUUCAGCGAGGAGGAAAGGUUGGUAGCUAAUAACUGCCAGCUGUGACGUUACUCGCAGAAGAAGCACCGGCUAACUCCGUGCCAGCCGCCGCCGUAAGAC